UACGUAGGUGGCAAGCGUUGUUCGGAAUUAUUGGGCGUAAAGGGCUCGUAGGCGGCCAACUAAGUCAGACGUGAAAUCCCUCAGCUUAACUGGGGAACUGCGUCUGAUACUGGAUGGCUUGGAUUCGGGAGAGGAAUGCGGAAUUCCAGGUGUAGCGGUGAAAUGCGUAGAUAUCGAGAGGAACACCUGCGGCGAAGGCGGGUUGCUGGGCUGACACUGACGCUGAGGCGCGAAAGCUAGGGGAGCGAACGGG
rnacentral:rRNA from 1 species